rnacentral:tRNA from 1 species
UGUUCUAGUAGUUUAAAAAAAAAUUUUGGUCUUGUAAGCCAAGGAUAAAUUCAUUUCUAGAAC